rnacentral:rRNA from 1 species
UGGCUGCAACUGUUUAUUAAAAACACAGCACUGUGCAAACACGAAAGUGGACGUAUACGGUGUGACGCCUGCCCGGUGCUGGAAGGUUAAUUGAUGGGGUCAGCCGUAAGGCGAAGCUCCUGAUCGAAGCCCCAGUAAACGGCGGCCGUAACUAUAACGGUCCUAAGGUAGCGAAAUUCCUUGUCGGGUAAGUUCCGACCUGCACGAAUGGCGUAAUGAUGGCCAGGCUGUCUCCACCCGAGACUCAGUGAAAUUGAACUCGCUGUGAAGAUGCAGUGUACCCGCGGCAAGACGGAAAGACCCCGUGAACCUUUACUAUAGCUUGACACUGAACAUUGAGCCUUGAUGUGUAGGAUAGGUGGGAGGCUUUGAAGUGUGGACGCCAGUCUGCAUGGAGCCAACCUUGAAAUACCACCCUUUAACGUUUGAUGUUCUAACCUAGGCCCAUAAACUGGGUCGGGGACCGUGUCUGGUGGGUAGUUUGACUGGGGCGGUCUCCUCCUAAAGAGUAACGGAGGAGCACGAAGGUUGGCUAAGCAUGGUCGGACAUCAUGCGGUUAGUGCAAAGGCAUAAGCCAGCUUGACUGCGAGAGUGACGGCUCGAGCAGGUACGAAAGUAGGUCUUAGUGAUCCGGUGGUUCUGAAUGGAAGGGCCAUCGCUCAACGGAUAAAAGGUACUCCGGGGAUAACAGGCUGAUACCGCCCAAGAGUUCAUAUCGACGGCGGUGUUUGGCACCUCGAUGUCGGCUCAUCACAUCCUGGGGCUGAAGUAGGUCCCAAGGGUAUGGCUGUUCGCCAUUUAAAGUGGUACGCGAGCUGGGUUUAGAACGUCGUGAGACAGUUCGGUCCCUAUCUGCCGUGGGCGUUGGAAGAUUGAGAGGGGUUGCUCCUAGUACGAGAGGACCGGAGUGAACGCACCACUGGUGUUCGGGUUGUCAUGCCAAUGGCAUUGCCCGGUAGCUAAGUGCGGAAGAGAUAACCGCUGAAAGCAUCUAAGCGGGAAACUUGCC